AUGAGUGGCAGACGGGUGAGUAACGCGUGGGAAUCUACCUAGAACUACGGAACAACAGAGGGAAACUUCUGCUAAUACCGUAUACGCCCUACGGGGGAAAGAUUUAUCGGUUUUAGAUGAGCCCGCGUAAGAUUAGCUAGUUGGUGGGGUAAUGGCCUACCAAGGCGACGAUCUUUAGCUGGUCUGAGAGGAUGAUCAGCCACACUGGGACUGAGACACGGCCCAG
rnacentral:rRNA from 1 species